rnacentral:rRNA from 1 species
CCCGGGCCUUGUACACACCGCCCGUCACACCAUGGGAGUUGGUUUUACCCGAAGGCGCUACGCUAACCGCAAGGAGGCAGGCGACCACGGUAAGGUCAGCGACUGGGGUG